rnacentral:rRNA from 1 species
AUUGAACGCUGGCGGCAGGCCUAACACAUGCAAGUCGAGCGAGCGGAGGACGGGUUAGUAAUGUCUGGGGAUCUGCCUGAUGGAGGGGGAUAACUACUGGAAACGGUGGCUUAUACCGCAUACUAUCGCAUGCGUCCAGAUGGGAUUUGCUGGUAGGAGGUGUAAAGGCUCACCUCGGCGACGAUCGCUAGCUGGUCUGAGAGGAUGAUCAGCCACACUGGAACUGAGACACGGUCCAGACUCCUACGGGAGGCAGCAGUGGGGAAUAUUGCACAAUGGGCGCAAGCCUGAUGCAGCCAUGCCGCGUGUAUGAAGAAGGCCUUAGGGUUGUAAAGUACUUUCAGCGGGGAGGCGUUACCCGCAGAAGAAGCACCGGCUAACUCCGUGCCAGCAGCCGCGGUAAUUC